rnacentral:rRNA from 1 species
CUACGGGUUGCACCAGUAAGGAAUAUUGCGCAAUGGAGGCAACUCUGACGCAGCCAUGCCGCGUGCAGGAAGAAGGCCUUAUGGGUCGUAAACUGCUUUUAUUUAGGAAUAAACCCCCGAACGUGUUCGGGGCUGAAGGUACUAAACGAAUAAGCACCGGCUAACUCCGUGCCAGCAGCCGCGGUAAUACGGAGGGUGCAAGCGUUAUCCGGAUUUAUUGGGUUUAAAGGGUGCGCAGGCGGGCUAUUAAGUCAGUGGUGAAAUCCCGGGGCUCAACUCCGGAACUGCCAUUGAUACUGAUAGUCUUGAGUUUGGUUGAAGUGGGCGGAAUGUAGCAUGUAGCGGUGAAACGCAUAGAUAUGCUACAGAACACCAAUCGCGAAGGCAGCUCACUAAGCCAAAACUGACGCUCAUGCACGAAAGCGUGGGGAUCAAACAGGAUUAGAUACCCUAGUAGUC